AACGAACGCUAGCGGCAUGCCUAACACAUGCAAGUCGAACGAUUGCCUUCGGGUGAUAGUGGCGCACGGGUGCGUAACGCGUGGGAAUCUGCCCUUAGGUUCGGAAUAACAGCUGGAAACGGCUGCUAAUACCGGAUGAUAUCGCGAGAUCAAAGAUUUAUCGCCUGAGGAUGAGCCCGCGUUGGAUUAGGUAGUUGGUGGGGUAAAGGCCUACCAAGCCGACGAUCCAUAGCUGGUCUGAGAGGAUGAUCAGCCACACUGGGACUGAGACACGGCCCAGACUCCUACGGGAGGCAGCAGUGGGGAAUAUUGGACAAUGGGCGCAAGCCUGAUCCAGCAAUGCCGCGUGAGUGAUGAAGGCCCUAGGGUUGUAAAGCUCUUUUACCCGGGAAGAUAAUGACUGUACCGGGAGAAUAAGCCCCGGCUAACUCCGUG
rnacentral:rRNA from 1 species